rnacentral:pre_miRNA from 1 species
UGUUUAGCGUUAAGUAUGUCCCAUGCAAUAUCUGGGACAUACUUAUACUAAAA